GGGUCCUUAGACAAAGUAACAUCGCUUGGUAGCGAAACGAUAUCUAAAAUCGUCAUCGUCUCAACGAUAACGACAAACAUUUCUUAGACAAAGUAACAUCGCGAUCGUUAUCGUUGUGUCGAAUCGAUUGUUCGCUAAAAAGCAAAAAUAUUGUUUAUGGUAACGAAAAUUUAGCUGUCAGUGUCACUCAAGAAGUUCAAAUCGGAUUAUUCCCGCGAGUUAUUACUGUUUUCGAAUUUUACUGAUAAGAAUAAGUGAGUUGUUGGCGAUCGCCGUACUUCGUGAGGGUGAUGAUAUCACGGUCAGCGACGUUGGAGUGCUGGGUGACGUCACGGGAUCGGCACGGUGGUCGCCGCACCGGUGGGCUUCAAGUGGUUGUGCUGCGAUGCCCAGACGUAAAUAUCCGAAAACUGCUGGGCUCAAGUGCUUCCCAAGAGAAAUAUGACUUUAUAAGUUCAAUUUCGAACUAGCCCUCGCAUAAGACAGUCCACGUUAUUUCUAUGAUAGUGAUGAAACAUGGAAUCAAGAGUGCGAACAAGUUCCCAACAAUUGUCAAUGCUGCUUGAGGAUAUAGCAAAUCAUGGUGACCCGGCGAGGCCUCUUGCUGCAUCAUUAGGUUGGGUACAGUCAGACCGACUGUGGACUGAACUGACAAACAUAUUGAAUGCUGUUGGUGGUGGUGGCAGCAAGACUACAGAUAAGUGAUAAAAAGCGUGAUCCGCGGUUGAGAUCGCCAGCGACACCGCAGUCUGCUGUUUCUCCCGGCCCUCGUUUGAGCGACCCCCUUCGAGAUAGCGGCAAGCGAGUAGCUAAAAAGCUAAAAGCACACAGCACCUGAAAAUUAUAAUAAUACAGAUUUAGAUUAUGUGGUUUUAUUUUUACUUACCUCUACAGCAGUUAAUAAAGUAUUGUGUCGUACCACAAUAUUUUUGUUAUAUAGUUCCUAUAAUAUAUAAAACUAUCCGACGAAUAAUGCUUUAACUCAAGUUAUUAGGAUCAAUAACCAACAACAAAAGUAUAUGUUUGCCUGCAAUAGGUACCUAUAAUUAUAUUGUUUAAUUAAUGUAAAAUUUCUUACCUUUAGUUCCAGGGGAAUCUCAGUAGAACCUUUUAAUCGUACAUGAGCUUCUAGCUCCUUGCAUAAUUUCCUAAAUGCUCUUUUAUUAAGUCUGAAAUGUUAGUUGAAAAACAAUUCAGGCAUUUCUCCAAUUGUUUCCAAUAGCCGUCGCCGCAUUUAAUCGGUUUUGACGCCUCUCCCAGGCGUUCUCGUUGUGCACAACCCACAAUAAACGAAGAUAAUGCAUUUUAUAAUUUAUUUAACCUGCAGUAAUGCCUCUAACAUAAAAUAAAUACUCAAGAGUAUGUAAUCAAUCAAGGUCAAAAAUCAGCUGUAGAAUGAAAUCCGGCCAUCUUGUGUCGAUAUUAGUCGAUAACUACAACGUUUUAGCGUUCGUUUCGUUAUCCUUAAUGACGAUCACGAUCGAGGCGAAGACGAACACUUAAAGUGCCGCUUGUCUACGCAUUUGUAUGGAAUAAACACGAUAACGUUCGGUAACGUAUUCGUUACUUUAUGGUUUCGUUAUGAAAUGUUACAUUGUCUACCAAAUUGCGAUAACGAUGUCGAUGGACCACGUGACUUAACGCAGCUCCAUACAUUUUAGACUUUUCUAACUUCGUUAUCGUUUUUAAAUUGUUACUUUGUCUAAGGCCCC